CUGACAAAAAUCCUUCUAAAAAUUUUUAAUAUACAAAUUGAGAUCUUCUAAUAUUUUUCUAUUACUGUGGUAUAUCACUUCUUUCCCUUUGUGCACCCUACUUAAAAUUUCAACUCACUCAGAAGAUACAGGAGCUGACUGUCGCUGUGGCUGUGCUGUAUCGGAACACUGCCUACCUUAAGGAAAGAACUUUGGAGGUCUCAGGCUUUGAAUUUUAUUUCCUGUAGUUUUUUCUCUCUGAAAUCUUAUAUAGGCUUUUCCUGAGUAAGGGUCAUUUUCACUUAGCUUUUUGAUGGUAUAAUGGACUGAAUGUUUGUGUCCCCCUUCCAAGUUCAAAUGUUGAAGGCCAAACCCUCCUUGUGGCUGUACUUGGAGAUGGGGGCCUCUUAGGAAGCAAUUAAGGUUGGAUGAGGUCCUUAGGGUGGGGCCCUGAUAGGAUUAGCGUCUGUAUAAAAAGAGACACCUGAGAGCUUCGCCCUGCUAGGAUUAGCGUCUGUAUAAAGAGAGACACCUGAGAGCUUCGCCCUGCUAGGAUUAGCGUCUGUAUAAAGAGAGACACCUGAGAGCUUCGCCCUGCUAGGAUUAGCGUCUGUAUAAAGAGAGACACCUGAGAGCUUCGCCCUGCUAGGAUUAGCGUCUGUAUAAAGAGAGACACCUGAGAGCUUCGCCUACACGCUUCCCCACUGAGGGAAGACCAUGUGACUAUACAACAGGAAGGUAGUUGUUUACAAGCCAGGAAGAGAGCCCUCACCAGAAACCAAAUUGGCUGGCGCCUUGAUCAUGGACUCCUGGGCUCCGGAACUGUAAGAAAAUUUGUGUUGUGGAAGCCACCCAGCCCAUGGUAUUUCGUUAUGGCAGCCUGAGCAGAGGUGGUAGCUAUGUGGACAGUUUUUGGACUUCUCUAUUUGCCACAUUAUAUGAAUAUAUUAUGCUGCUUUGUCACAUGCUGUAAGAAAAGUAACUGCUAUGGAGUUGAGAAGGUACAAGAAAGGACAUGAGGAUCCUCAAGAAGGUGCCAGAAGGGAGGCAUCUCAUCCAGCCUCAUAAAGCUAUGAGGAUGGCUAUAACAUGACAUCACGGAAGCAAAGGCUUUCACUUUCUGGAGUGAAAAGAGAAAGGGAACAUGGACAUGCUCCUUGAAUGGUUAAUCACCCUGCCCCCCACUGAUGCCUGUGUGACCCAAGCUUUCCUCCUUCCUUGCUAGUCACUUGCCCCAAGACUUCUACACAUCAACUCCCCGCUCUGGAGUCUCCUCUGUUGUCAUAAACCAUUGGGUUGUCCAGAAUCUUGGCUCUCAAAACAUGGUCCAUGAACCAGCAGUAUUAGCAUCACCUAUGAAUUUGUGUCCAACUUAGACUACUGAGUCAUAAUCUUCAUUGUAACAUGAUAUGCAGAUGAUUUGUAAUUUGUAUGAACAUUAGAACGUUAAAGUUUGAGAAGGUCUGGCCUGAAACACUUCUUCAUAUCAAGCCUUAACUGAAAUCUGAUUUAUAAUGGUAAUCAUGAUUUAUAAUGAUACCAUGAUUUAUAGUGGGGGUAAUUAUCACUAUACUUUUAAAUAGUACAUGUGUUAGUUAAUUUUAUCAUGUUUUCAGCAAGUGCCUACUGUAUUCCAGGUACUACAAGUGCUGCAAAUUGGGGAUAUAAGAAUAGUAUCCCCACAGAGCUCACGGUGUAGCAGGCUUAUGAAAACAAAACAAAACACUCAAACAAAAAAAAUCACAAAAUUGUAUUUCAAGCUGUACAAAGCUAUGCCCUCUAAUUAAUGCUAUAUUUCUCUCUUCACGUCUUUCACUUUUCUCCCAGAAUCCAUGUAUUCUGUGAGAAAAAAAUCUGACUUGAAAUGUUACCCUCUUUCCACUUCUUUUCCAUUUCAAUGCUGUUGUUGCAUUGCUGGCACAAGCCUCUAGAAGUAGUAUUCUCAGGCCCAAUUGGAAAGGCAAAUCAACAAUUUUUUAAAAAUUGGAUUUUAAGAGAGCAUUUGUGUUCCAUUUUCUCAGAUGACUUUCUAUGUAUGUAUCUCAUCUUCAAUUAGCAAUGCUUCUGCCAUUAUUACAGGGCAUAUUCUGGAAUUUUUCUUGUUUUGGUUUUGUUUCUGUUGUGGGGUAGGGAGAAAAGGAAUGAUUGAACAUGUUUAUUAAAUGCAGCCAAGCUUGUUUAGGUUUUGGAGAUACCAGAAGGUUAUGUUUUGUAAAAUAUAAUUGACACUAGCAUCACAGGGCAUGGGCUCCAAGGAUAACAUUACAUCAGGACCUUAGUGUGUUUACAUGAGCAUAAAAGAGCUGGUUCUGGUGAAUCAGGAAAUGAUUUGGAAAGAGUAGUGCAAAGAGGCUAAAUCUUCCAUGGGAAGAUGCUGCUGCUUCUGUUGCCAGGGCUGCUGCAGUUCUUUGAAGUCAAAAUCUGUAACUGAUUUGAGUUUAGGUCUCUUGAUCAAUAUCAGAUAAUACAAAAAACCUGAUUUUCUUAUCUUAUGGGAAUUUAUGGCAUCUCCCCUAGUCUCGAGAUCACUUCCUAGCAUGUAUUUCAAGAUAGUUUUUUGUAUAUGAUCUUAUACCAUUUUGUAUAUGAUCUUAUUCCACCAUUUUGCUUUUCCCAGAACUGAAUACUGAUAUAGUUACUAACACAGCACUCAAUGAAAUUUCCAAUAUUUUGGCUUCUCUUCAGUAGUUUUUGCCUUCUUUGACUUUUACUGCCUUUGUUGGCUAGAGUUUUAGCUGGCACCGUGCUGACCCAGCAGGUCACUUCAGUUUGGAAAAGAGUGAGUAGCAUUUGUGUUGCUUACUCAGCAUGUUAUUUCUCUUUGGAGCAAAGUGCAAUGGCUUCUGGUCAAUUUUUGAAUUGAUUUUAGGAUGGUUUUAAUGAUUUAUAAAGGAGCAUUUAAUCCCAU
rnacentral:lncRNA from 1 species